CGCCGCUGGCUAGUUCCAGCACUUCACUCUCCCAGAUAGGAUGUAGGCACUUAGGCCAUAGCUGUCCCUGCCUUCGUCCUCUCCACCUCUGCCUGUUUGUAGGCAUCAGUUAAUCUGUCUGAAUUUGUUAUUCUGACAUCCAUGAAGGGAAUCAUGAUAUGUUUCCUCCUGUGCUUCCCAGUGCUAACUUGGUGGUGUUCAGAGAUUAAUACACUUGAGUCAAUGAAAGUGUUUGUGGGUUAGUUCUUUGUGACUUGACUCUGGGGUGCACUUGAAUGUGAAUGUAUAUGUAUGCUUACCAACUCAGCAGGUCAGUGGACAUGAUGGGCUAUCUCCUCCACUCCUCGAUAUGUGAAUAACACUGAAGUAAACAGUAAACAAGUGCUUGUUUUUGUCCCUGCUGAGGAUAGAGAAGGACAUAAAGAAACUAAGCUUCUUAAGAGCCUGUAGGUCCUAGUAUCCUCCGAAGCCAUGCUUCAGUGACCUAACUUCAGUAGGUCCCACCUAGGAUUCUUUUUAGCUUUGUUUUUUUCCUAAGGUACUUAAAAAAUGCAUGUAUUUUUAUGUAUAUGGGUUUUUUUUUUCUACUUGUAGAGUCUGCACAUCAGAAGAGGGCAUCAGUUCAUAUUAUAGACAGUUGUGAGCCAUCAUGAAUGCUGGGAAUUAAACUCAGGACCUGGGGAAGAGCAGCCCACUCUUAGCUGCUGAGCCAUCUUUCCAGCCUAGUAGUUUUUAUUUUUUUGAACUGUAUCUCCUUAUUUUACUCCUGGCUAUCCUGGAGCUUGCUAUAUGUAGAUCAGACUGGCUCUUAACUCAGAAAUCCUCUAGCCUUUGCCUCCUGAGUGUUGGGAUUAAAUAAAGAGGUAUGCACC
rnacentral:lncRNA from 1 species